AUUGAACGCUGGCGGCAGGCUUAACACAUGCAAGUCGAGCGGAGUGAUGGUGCUUGCACUAUCACUUAGCGGCGGACGGGUGAGUAAUGCUUAGGAAUCUGCCUAUUAGUGGGGGACAACAUCUCGAAAGGGAUGCUAAUACCGCAUACGUCCUACGGGAGAAAGCAGGGGAUCACUUGUGACCUUGCGCUAAUAGAUGAGCCUAAGUCGGAUUAGCUAGUUGGUGGGGUAAAGGCCUACCAAGGCGACGAUCUGUAGCGGGUCUGAGAGGAUGAUCCGCCACACUGGGACUGAGACACGGCCCAGACUCCUACGGGAGGCAGCAGUGGGGAAUAUUGGACAAUGGGGGGAACCCUGAUCCAGCCAUGCCGCGUGUGUGAAGAAAGCCUUAUGGUUGUAAAGCACUUUAAGCGAGGAGGAGGCUCUUUUGGUUAAUACCCAGAAUGAGUGGACGUUACUCGCAGAAUAAGCACCGGCUAACUCUGUGCCAGCCGCCGCGGUAA
rnacentral:rRNA from 1 species